UUAGGGAGACCUCACACUAUCGAUACCGAAACACAACGGAUUAAGUACGAUAGAUGUCAUCCCAAGGUCGAACGAUGUUUAACGAGCAUGGCUUUCAAACUUAUAUUCUAGUUCAGCACUGCCCUGGGCUAUUAGCUCAGUUGGUUAGAGCGCACCCCUGAUAAGGGUGAGGUCCCCAGUUCAAGUCCGGGAUAGCCCAUCAAUCGAAACCCGGGGGUUUAGCUCAGUUGGUAGAGCGCCUGCUUUGCAAGCAGGAUGUCAGCGGUUCGAGUCCGCUAACCUCCAUCUGUCACAUCAACAACAGAGUAAGCUGAACCUAGAAUAAACGCGGCAAACAAACGGAAAUGACUUCAGCACCUACUAAAAAAGUAGUCUGCUGGACUUAGUGUCCAGUUCGCACCUUGACAACUGCAUAAUAAUCAACAGUCAGGUAGUCGUAAUCAUAAGAUUAUAGACAAUCCAAAAUAAUUAAUGAAACUUGUGACUGAGUUUUGUAACAAAUCAACUUGUUGGUUUAUUACAGGGUGAGGAAACAAAGU
rnacentral:tRNA from 1 species